GGAAAUAAUUCUUUAGGGUCAAGGAAGGGUACUCCUGUUCGUAGAGGAUGUGGUUUCAGUGGAAAAUUUUAUUUAAACAGAAAUGAAAAGUUAUUUAACAAGACUAUUCGAGGUAGCAGUGAAAGGUUCAAGGCUACUGGGAAUUCACAUGUGCAAUUUUUGGACUUAAUGAAUUCCAUGGUUAAGCUUAUUAAUUCUCAAAUUGAAGUGGCAGGUAAAAUCAGCG
rnacentral:lncRNA from 1 species